GAUGAACGCUGGCGGCGUGCCUAAUACAUGCAAGUCGAGCGAACGGACGAGAAGCUUGCUUCUCUGAUGUUAGCGGCGGACGGGUGAGUAACACGUGGAUAACCUACCUAUCAGACUGGGAUAACUUCGGGACACCGGAGCUAAUACCGGAUAAUAUUUUGAACCGCAUGGUUCACAAGUGAAAGACGGUCUUGCUGUCACUUAUAGCUGGAUCCGCGCUGCAUUAGCUAGUUGGUAAGGUAACGGCUUACCAAGGCAACGAUGCAUAGCCGACCUGAGAGGGUGAUCGGCCACACUGGAACUGAGACACGGUCCAGACUCCUACGAGAGGCAGCAGUAGGGAAUCUUCCGCAAUGGGCGAAAGCCUGACGGAGCAACGCCGCGUGAGUGAUUAAGGUCUUCGGAUCGUAAAACUCUGUUAUGAGGGAGGAACAUAUGUGUAAGUAACUGUGCACAUCUUGACGGUACCUAAUCAGAAAGCCACGGCUAACUACGUG
rnacentral:rRNA from 1 species